rnacentral:rRNA from 1 species
GACGAACGCUGGCGGCGUGCUUAACACAUGCAAGUCGAACGGAAAGGCCCUGCUUUUGUGGGGUGCUCGAGUGGCGAACGGGUGAGUAACACGUGAGUAACCUGCCCUUGACUUUGGGAUAACUUCAGGAAACUGGGGCUAAUACCGGAUAGGAGCUCCUGCUGCAUGGUGGGGGUUGGAAAGUUUCGGCGGUUGGGGAUGGACUCGCGGCUUAUCAGCUUGUUGGUGGGGUAGUGGCUUACCAAGGCUUUGACGGGUAGCCGGCCUGAGGGGGUGACCGGCCACAUUGGGACUGAGAUACGGCCCAGACUCCUACGGGAGGCAGCAGUGGGGAAUAUUGCACAAUGGGCGGAAGCCUGAUGCAGCAACUCCGCGUGCGGGAUGACGGCCUUCGGGUUGUAAACCGCUUUCGCCUGUGACGAAGCGUGAGUGACGGUAAUGGGUAAAGAAGCACCGGCUAACUACGUG